AAGAAGCCCUGGCUAACUCCGUGCCAGCAGCCGCGGUAAUACGGAGAGGGCGAGCGUUGUUCGGAUUUACUGGGCGUAAAGGGCAUGUAGGUGUCUCGAUAAGCUCUGGGUGAAAUAUCUGCGCUCAACGCAGACACGAAUCAGAGAACUAUCGGGAUUGAGUUCAGAGGAAGAGAGUGGAAUUCUCGGUGUAGCGGUGAAAUGCGUAGAUAUCGAGAAGAACACCAGCGGCGAAGGCGGCUCUCUAUUCUGAAACUGACACUCAAAUGCGAAAGCGUGGGGAGCAAAUGGGAUUAGAUACCCCAGUAGUCCACGCUGUAAACGAUGUGCACUUGGUGUAUUCCUUUUUAAGGGGUGCGCCGGAGCUAACGCG
rnacentral:rRNA from 1 species